GAUGAACGCUGGCGGCGUGCUUAACACAUGCAAGUCGAACGGAAAGGCUCCUGCUUGCAGGGGUACUCGAGUGGCGAACGGGUGAGUAACACGUGGGUGAUCUGCCCUGCACUUCGGGAUAAGCCUGGGAAACUGGGUCUAAUACCGGAUAGGACCAUAUUUUGGAUGGUGCGGUGGAAAGUUUUUCGGUGUGGGAUGAGCUCGCGGCCUAUCAGCUUGUUGGUGGGGUAAUGGCCUACCAAGGCGUCGACGGGUAGCCGGCCUGAGAGGGUGUACGGCCACAUUGGGACUGAGAUACGGCCCAGACUCCUACGGGAGGCAGCAGUGGGGAAUAUUGCACAAUGGGCGCAAGCCUGAUGCAGCGACGCCGCGUGGGGGAUGACGGCCUUCGGGUUGUAAACUCCUUUCGCUAGGGACGAAGCGCAAGUGACGGUACCUGGAGAAGAAGCACCGGCUAACUACGUG
rnacentral:rRNA from 1 species